CUCAGUUCGGAUUGGAGUCUGCAACCCGACUCCAUGAAGCUGGAUUCGCUAGUAAUCGCGCAUCAGCCACGGCGCGGUGAAUACGUUCCCGGGCCUUGUACACACCGCCCGUCAAGCCAUGGAAGCCGGGAGUGCCUGAAGUGCGUGACCGCAAGGAACGCCCCAGGGUAAAACCGGUGACUGGGGCUAAGUCGUAACAAGGUAUC
rnacentral:rRNA from 1 species